UCAAUGAAACUGAAAGUUUUCUGUGUUCGUACAGAAAAUGAACUGAUUGAUCUUCUGUAAUGCUAUUAUGAGGAUCACCCUUUGAGGUUUAUAGCAAUAGGUCGCCCUAUGAUCAGUUACAUGCUUUUGUUGA
rnacentral:sRNA from 12 species